rnacentral:lncRNA from 1 species
AAAAUGAUUUGCACACAUUUGCUUCUACCGCAGAGUUCAAAUAGUGGAGUUUCCUCUUUGAGUGGAUUAAAUUUUAUGAAUCGUCUACGACGUCGAGCACAUAUUUAUCGUGUUUCAGAAGCCACAAAUGCAAGAAACAGUCAUACAACAGAGUCAUAUGUCAGUAUCUGAAUGAUUUGCUAGAAUCUUUGACAAUGAAUACUUAUUUUAUGGAUAAUUCAUAAAUAUUUCUGUCAGCUUCUAUAAGAUUGUAUUAUAUUUAUUAAAGCUUGAGUCACUGAUGAAUGUUCCUUACUUGUAAGUCGCUUUGGAUAAAAGCGUCUUCCGACUAAAUGUAAAUGUAACCCAAGUUUUGUGUGCCAGUUUUGUAGUUUCACACAUUCAAUCUGAAACAAAACAGAAAUAUUCAGUUAAGUAUUAUUUUGAUUAAUAAUAAACAUCACACCUGUCUAGGAUAACAAGGUUUGUCUUUAGAUUGAUUUUUCAUAUACACAUGUAUCUUUCUUCUCUGAGAAAAAGUUUAUCAGUUUGGCCCAUUACGUUCAAAUUAUUUUAAUAAAACUUUAAAGUUUUCUGUAGUUCUGGACAUUUGUGUCAAGUAUUUUUUGGUUAGCUAUGUGGUUAAACAACAAGCAAAGUGAAAUAUCACAAGCAUAUUAUAAGUAGUCAAAUAAAAGGAAAAUAUGCAAUCCUAAAAUAAUUAACAAUAAAAAUCAAGUUCAGUGAUUAUUCAUUACAAGGGCGUUAUGGCCAUUAGAUGUGUAUCUAGUUAAAAGGUUUAAGAUAUUUCAAAUUGCAUUUUGAUUACUUAAAAUUAUGAGAAUAGGCAAAAUUCUUAUUCAAAUCAUCUGUAAGAAUGACAAUUAAUGAUUUGGCUUGCUAGUUUUCCACUAGAUGUCAGUAGUCUUUAGUAAGCUCUUCAGUGGGAUUUCAGAAAAUGAACUUUUUGCUGGCACAAAAUAACAAAGAAUCUUGAAAAUAAAUAAAAUAAAUCUAUUGUGUAAAAGUAACAUAGAUUAAUACAUUUUUAUUUCAUUAAUACAAUUUAAAAGUCAAAAUGUAACUGUAGGUAACUUAAUCAGUAUGUCUUGUUAAUCAGAAUGCAGUUUUUGAUAACUUGAAUAACAAUGACACAACAGGUGCGUUGUGUUCUGUGAUAAUAUUUCACAGAUGAUUCAUAAAUGUUUUGAUCAGGUUUUCU